CCUACGGGAGGCAGCAGUGGGGAAUAUUGCACAAUGGGGGAAACCCUGAUGCAGCGACGCCGCGUGAGUGAAGAAGUAAUUCGUUAUGUAAAGCUCUAUCAGCAGGGAAGAAAAUGACGGUAACUGAGUAAGAAGCCCCGGCUAACUACGUGCCAGCAGCCGCGGUCAUACGUAGGGGGCAAGCGUUAUCCGGAUUUACUGGGUGUAAAGGGAGCGUAGACGGCAGUGCAAGUCUGGAGUGAAAGGCGGGGGCUCAACCCCCGAACUGCUCUGGAUACUGUACGGCUGGAGUGCAGGAGAGGUAAGUGGAAUUCCUAGUGUAGCGGUGAAAUGCGUAGAUAUUAGGAGGAACACCAGUGGCGAAGGCGGCUUACUGGACUGUAACUGACGUUGAGGCUCGAAAGCGUGGGGAGCAAACAGGAUUAGAUACCCUAGUAGUC
rnacentral:rRNA from 1 species